rfam:Glossina pallidipes unplaced genomic scaffold Scaffold12, whole genome shotgun sequence.
AGGUCUCGCCAUCGGAAGCGUGCUAAUAACAACCAGCCUCCGCGAAGUAAUACCUAACGGUGGUCCCGCGGGGGAGAGUGGUAGAAGAAGUGUGUGAGGAGGUAGUAAGCGCCAUGGAUGGCGAAUCGUGCAUGCUGCUACUAAGAACCAGCAGUAUCUUUUGAAGAUUUUCUACCUCCUGCUAGC